GUGCUUGCUUCGGCAGCACAUAUACUAAAACUGGAACGAUACAGAGAAGAUUAGCAUGGUCCCUGCACAAGGAUGACACACAAAUUCAUGAAGCGUUCCAUAUUUUU
rnacentral:snRNA from 1 species